rnacentral:rRNA from 1 species
GACGAACGCUGGCGGCGUGCUUAACACAUGCAAGUCGAACGAAGAGCGAUGGAAGCUUGCUCCUAUCAAUCUUAGUGGCGAACGGGUGAGUAACGCGUAAUCAACCUGCCCUUCAGAGGGGGACAACAGUUGGAAACGACUGCUAAUACCGCAUACGAUCUAACCUCGGCAUCGAGGAAAGAUGAAAGGUGGCCUCUAUUUAUAAGCUAUCACUGAAGGAGGGGAUUGCGUCUGAUUAGCUAGUUGGAGGGGUAACGGCCCACCAAGGCGAUGAUCAGUAGCCGGUCUGAGAGGAUGAACGGCCACAUUGGGACUGAGACACGGCCCAGACUCCUACGGGAGGCAGCAGUGGGGAAUCUUCCGCAAUGGACGAAAGUCUGACGGAGCCGCCGCGUGAGUGAUGACCGGCUUCGGG